GGAUGUAAGAGUGAUCUGGCUGUGACAUCUGUCACCCCACUGAUCACCAGGGUUGAUUCAGCUAAUCUGGCUGGCUAGGCAGGUGUCCCCUUCAUUCCUCACCACUCCAUGUGUGUCCCUCUUGAAACAUGGUCAUAAAGGUUCUCAUAAAGGAGGACUGAUCUUUAUAUGGUAUGAGUUAUCUGCACUUCCCUGCUGGAACCUCCAAGCAAGGUUUCAAGGAAAGCCAGUGCCCAUCUCAAUUAAAGGGGGGAUAUAAGAGGACCUGGAUUCCAGCUCUAAGCCAGAUAGAAUAUCCUAAGGUGAGACUUUGGAAUGAACUCCUUAUUU
rnacentral:snRNA from 1 species